GAGUUUGAUCCUGGCUCAGAUUGAACGCUGGCGGCAGGCUUAACACAUGCAUGUCGAGCGGUAACGGGUCCAGCUUGCUGGAUGCCGACGAGCGGCGGACGGGUGAGUAAUGCAUAGGAAUCUGCCCAGUCGUGGGGGAUAACCUGGGGAAACCCAGGCUAAUACCGCAUACGUCCUACGGGAGAAAGCGGGGGCUUCGUGUUCUUCGGAAUGGGGACCUCGCGCGAUUGGAUGAGCCUAUGUCGGAUUAGCUGGUUGGUGAGGUAACGGCUCACCAAGGCGACGAUCCGUAGCUGGUCUGAGAGGAUGAUCAGCCACACCGGGACUGAGACACGGCCCGGACUCCUACGGGAGGCAGCAGUGGGGAAUAUUGGACAAUGGGCGCAAGCCUGAUCCAGCCAUGCCGCGUGUGUGAAGAAGGCUUUCGGGUUGUAAAGCACUUUCAGUGGGGAAGAAGGCCUGGCGGUCAAUACCCGCCAGGGACGACAUCACCCACAGAAGAAGCACCGGCUAACUCCGUGCCAGCAGCCGCGGUAAUACGGAGGGUGCGAGCGUUAAUCGGAAUUACUGGGCGUAAAGCGCGCGUAGGCGGCCAAGUAAGCCGGUUGUGAAAGCCCCGGGCUCAACCUGGGAAUGGCAUCCGGAACUGGUUGGCUAGAGUGCAGGAGAGGAAGGUAGAAUUCCCGGUGUAGCGGUGAAAUGCGUAGAGAUCGGGAGGAAUACCAGUGGCGAAGGCGGCCUUCUGGACUGACACUGACGCUGAGGUGCGAAAGCAUGGGUAGCAAACAGGAUUAGAUACCCUGGUAGUCCAUGCCGUAAACGAUGCCGACUAGCCGUUGGGUCCCUUGAGGACUUGGUGGCGCAGUUAACGCGAUAAGUCGACCGCCUGGGGAGUACGGCCGCAAGGUUAAAACUCAAAUGAAUUGACGGGGGCCCGCACAAGCGGUGGAGCAUGUGGUUUAAUUCGAUGCAACGCGAAGAACCUUACCUACCCUUGACAUCCUGCGAACCCACCGGAGACGGCGGGGUGCCUUCGGGAGCGCAGAGACAGGUGCUGCAUGGCUGUCGUCAGCUCGUGUUGUGAAAUGUUGGGUUAAGUCCCGUAACGAGCGC
rnacentral:rRNA from 1 species